AAGCUCGUAGUUGAAUUUCGAGAUCAGUACGCUGGUCGUGCCUUCGGUAUGCACUGGUGUCACUGGUUUCUCCCUUCUGAAGAACCGUCAUGUCAUUAAGUUGGUGUGGCGGGGAAUCAGGACUGUUACUUUGAAAAAAUUAGAGUGUUUAAAGCAGGCUCGCGCUUGAAUACAUUAGCAUGGAAUAAUGAAAUAGGACGUUUGACCCUAUUUUGUUGGUUUCUAGGAUCGACGUAAUGAUUAAUAGGGAUAGUUGGG
rnacentral:rRNA from 2 species